rnacentral:rRNA from 1 species
UCUCAGUUCGGAUUGGAGGCUGAGACCCGCCUCCAUGAAGUUGGAUUCGCUAGUAAUCGCGCAUCAGCCAUGGCGCGGUGAAUACGUUCCCGGGCCUUGUACACACCGCCCGUCAAGCCAUGGGAGCCGGGGGUGCCUGAAGUUCGUGACCGCAAGGAGCGACCUAGGGCAAAACUGGUGACUGGGGCUAAGUCGUAACAAGGUAUC